UACGGGGGGAGCAAGCGUUGUUCGGAUUUACUGGGCGUAAAGGGCGCGUAGGCGGCCACUGCAAGUCAGUUGUGAAAUCUCCGGGCUUAACCCGGAAAGGUCAACUGAUACUGCAGGGCUAGAGUGCAGAAGGGGCAACUGGAAUUCUCGGUGUAGCGGUGAAAUGCGUAGAUAUCGAGAGGAACACCUGCGGCGAAGGCGGGUUGCUGGGCUGAUACUGACGCUGAGGCGCGAAAGCCAGGGGAGCAAACGGG
rnacentral:rRNA from 1 species